GAUUAGCGGCGGACGGGUGAGUAACACGUGAGUAACCUGCCUUUUACACAGGGAUAGCCUCGGGAAACCGGGAUUAAAACCUGAUGAAACUAUCAAAUCACAUGAUUAAGAAAGUUAAAACUCCGGUGGUAAAAGAUGGACUCGCGUCCCAUUAGCUAGUUGGUGAAGGUAACGGCCCACCAAGGCAACGAUGGGUAGCCGGCCUGAGAGGGUGAACGGCCACAUUGGAACUGAGAAACGGUCCAAACUCC
rnacentral:rRNA from 1 species